rnacentral:rRNA from 1 species
GAUGAACGCUGGCGGCGUGCCUAAUACAUGCAAGUCGAGCGAACAGACGAGGAGCUUGCUCCUCUGACGUUAGCGGCGGACGGGUGAGUAACACGUGGAUAACCUACCUAUAAGACUGGGAUAACUUCGUGAAACCGGAGCUAAUACCGGAUAAUAUAUUGAACCGCAUGGUUCAAUAGUGAAAGACGGUUUUGCUGUCACUUAUAGAUGGAUCCGCGCCGCAUUAGCUAGUUGGUAAGGUAACGGCUUACCAAGGCAACGAUGCGUAGCCGACCUGAGAGGGUGAUCAGCCACACGGGAACUGAGACACGGUCCAGACUCCUACGGGAGGCAGCAGUAGGGAAUCUUCCGCAAUGGGCGAAAGCCUGACGGAGCAACGCCGCGUGAGUGAUGAAGGUCUUCGGAUCGUAAAACUCUGUUAUUAGGGAAGAACAAAUGUGUAAGUAAAUAUGCACGUCUUGACGGUACCUAAUCAGAAAGCCACGGCUAACUACGUG